rnacentral:lncRNA from 1 species
UUUAAUGAACUUCAGUUCCUACCUUUUUUUUUUUUUUUUUUGAGAUAGGGUCUCUGUUGCCCAAGCUGGAGUGCAGUAGUGAACACAGCUCACUGCAGCCUCGACCUCCUGGGCUCAAGCUGUCCUCCUUCAGCCUCCUGUGUAGCCAGGAGCACAGGCGUGUGCCACUGCACCUGGCUAACUUUUGGAUAUUUUUGUAGAGAUGGAGUCUCACUUUGUUGCCCAGACUGGUUUUGAACUCCAGGGCUAAAGUGAUCCUCCUUGGCCUCCCAAAGUGUUGGGAUUACAGGUGUAUGCCAUGUGCCUGGCCUCUGUAUCUUUUCAAUGGGCAUAGUCCUCUUGUAUUUAUGUAGUUUACUUUCGCUUGUUGCAGAAAGGACAUAAUGUGGUUAAAUAGGGCUAUAGUAAUAAUUCGUGUCCUCAGGGUUGUUGUGAGGAUCAAAGAAAUGUAUGAGAAGGUAAACUGCAAGGUUCAGAAUAGUAAAAAUAAGCCCCCACUUCAUGAAAAAAAAAAUACACGGAAAAUAUAGAGAAAUGAAAAUAGGAGUAAAGAGCCACUACUCAAGUCAACCACUAACAACUGUUUUAGUGUUAUUUCUGUCACCUUAAAAUUGUGUGUGUGUGUGUGUGUGUGUGUGUGUGUUCUUGUGUUGCCUAGGCUGGUCUUGAAUUCCAAAGCUCAAGCAUUCCUCCCACCUCAGCCUUCCAAAGUGCUGGGAUUACAGGCAUGGGCCACCAUGCCAGACCCCAAAUUUUUUUUGACAUUAUGCUUAUGCUACCAUAUGAGAACACAAAUUGUAAGGCUUGGAAUAGUUUAAAAAGUAAACCUCACCCCUAUUCAUUAAAAACUGCAUGGAAAAUAUAGAAAAGUGAAAAUAGGAGAAAAAAGAUACAUUGUUUUACUGCCAAAGAAAAUUACCAGUUACUCCUGACAUUUUCUUUUCCUUUUUUUCUUUUUUUUCCCUGAGACAGAGUCUUGCUCUGUCACUCAGGCUGGAGUGCAGUGGCACAGUCUCAGUUCACUGCAACCUCUGCCUCUUGGGUUCAAGCGAUUCUCCUGCCUUAGCCUCCCGAGUAGCUGGGACUACAGGUGUGAGCCACCAUGCCCGGCUACUUUUUAUUUUUUAUUUUUUAGUAGAGAUGGGGCUUCACCAUGUCGGCCAGGCUGGUCUCGAACUCCUGACCUCAAGACAGGUGGCCCGCCUCAACCUCCCAAAGUGCUGGGAUUACAAGUGUGAGCCAUUGCACCCAGCCGACAUUUUCUUUUUAGUAUAUUUCCCUCACCUUUUCUGUUUUUGAAGGCAAAUACUUUUAAAAAAGCAUUUUUAAUAACUCUUAAUUCGUAACAAUAGCUAGAUAACCUUUAGAUUUUUAUAGGCAAGUACAUCAGAAAAGACUCUUGAGUCCGUAUCUCUUUUUAAAAGUUGUUGAUUUCAACAUAGUCCCUGCUAGUCUCUAGCUGAGACUGUUCUUGUUUAGUCUAAGUAUUUUCUUGCUUUUGUGAGGAAGCAAAAAAUAUGUUUUCUGUGAAAAUGUGAUUGACCUGGCAAAUAGAAUAUGCCUCGAAGGAGCUCAUCUAAGUGAGGCGGCAGGUCCCAGAGGUCCCUGUUACCUUAGGGCAGUAAAGAGAGGAGACACCUCAGCUGGGUUUACAGAACACAGUCUAGGGGGUGAGUAGCCCCACCUGGUGAGAUGUUGGUAACGUUGUCAUUUCCCUGGUUAAGAUAUACAUAUGUUUGCACCUUUUUCUCCAAAUGUCUGAUUAUCUAUAUUAAAGGAUGUGUAUGGAGUUGUUGUUUUUAAUAGGUAUCCCUGAAAUUCUGUGUUUAGGAACACUAUACCUUAACAACACUCUCUCCCAAUAUGUUUAAGCCAGUAUUCUUUCCCAGAGACAUUUGGGAAACUGGGUGGAUGUCAUUGUGCAGAUUAAAUGUGGCAGAUGCCUAGAUGGGAAACCUGUAAUGAAUAGUACUUUCUUUUAAAAUAGGUUAAAGGAAGAUGGAAGUGGAAGUGCUUAUGACAAAGAAUCUAUGGCAAUUAUCAAGCUGAAUAAUACAACUGUCCUUUAUUUAAAGGAGGUGACUAAAUUUUUGGCACUGGUCUGCAUUCUAAGGGAAGAAAGCUUUGAAAGAAAAGGUUUAAUAGACUACAACUUCCACUGUUUCCGAAAAGCUAUUCAUGAGGUUUUUGAGGUGGGUGUGACUUCUCACAGGAGCUGUGGUCACCAGACUAGUGCCUCCAGUCUGAAAGCGCUGACACACAAUGGCACGCCACGAAACGCCAUCUAGUCUGAAUCCCAGCGUCGGGGCUCUGUGCCAGCUUACUCUUCACUCCAGGGUCGGAUGCCACGUGCUACAGGACAUGGGAGCUGCUGCUUGUGGGAAUCUGGUGCCUGUUCCACUAGAGACAAGGGGUAGAGUUUCUCAUUUGGAUGAAAACCCCUUCAACUGGUGGUGUACAACUGAAGCUACUAUAUCUUUUUUGAAAAUGGC